rnacentral:lncRNA from 1 species
CCCAAUCGAGUUUCUCUAAACCCAAUUAAUACUUCAUAAGCUCAAUUACUAAUUUUAGACCUAAUCUCUUUGUUGUGUGACCCCAUAAGUUUUAUUCUAUCUAGUAGUGACAUAUACAAUGAUCUCUAUCAAAGUAUCAUUGAAACUCUUUUCAAUGAGUCGGAACAAUUCCACUCUAGCUCAUCAAGGAUUAUCGAUCC